UACGUAGGGGGCUAGCGUUGUCCGGAAUCAUUGGGCGUAAAGCGCGUGUAGGCGGUUCGGUAAGUCCGCUGUGAAAGUCGGGGGCUCAACCCUCGAAUGCCGGUGGAUACUGUCGGGCUAGAGUCCGGAAGAGGAGAGUGGAAUUCCUGGUGUAGCGGUGAAAUGCGCAGAUAUCAGGAAGAACACCCGUGGCGAAGGCGGCUCUCUGGGACGGUACUGACGCUGAGACGCGAAAGCGUGGGGAGCGAACAGG
rnacentral:rRNA from 1 species